rnacentral:rRNA from 1 species
UACAGAGGUCUCAAGCGUUGUUCGGAUUCAUUGGGCGUAAAGGGUGCGUAGGCGGCGCGGUAAGUCGGGUGUGAAAUCUCGGAGCUUAACUCCGAAACUGCAUUCGAUACUGCCGGUGCUUGAGGACUGGAGAGGAGACUGGAAUUUACGGUGAGCGGUGAAAUGCGUAGAUAUCGUAAGGAAGACCCAGUGGCGGAAGGCG